rnacentral:rRNA from 1 species
UACAGAGGUCCCAAGCGUUGUUCGGAUUCACUGGGCGUAAAGGGCUCGUAGGCGGCCAACUAAGUCAUACGUGAAAUCCCUCGGCUUAACCGGGGAACUGCGUCUGAUACUGGAUGGCUUGAGUUCGGGAGAGGGAUGCGGAAUUCCAGGUGUAGCGGUGAAAUGCGUAGAUAUCUGGAGGAACACCGGUGGCGAAGGCGGCAUCCUGGACCGAUACUGACGCUGAGGAGCGGAAGCCAGGGGAGCAAACGGG